rnacentral:rRNA from 1 species
UUCGCCCUUAGAGUUUGAUCCUGGCUCAGGACGAACGCUGGCGGCGUGCCUAACACAUGCAAGUCGAACGGAACUGCAAGGAACAAGACUUCGGUCAAGUGAAUUGUACGUUUAGUGGCGGACGGGUGAGUAACGCGUGAGCAAUCUGCCUUUCAGAGGGGGAUAACAUUCUGAAAAGAAUGCUAAUACCGCAUAAUGUGCACAGUUGGCAUCGACAGUGCACCAAAGGAGCAAUCCGCUGAAAGAUGAGCUCGCGUCCGAUUAGAUAGUUGGCGGGGUAACGGCCCACCAAGUCGACGAUCGGUAGCCGGACUGAGAGGUUGAACGGCCACAUUGGGACUGAGACACGGCCCAGACUCCUACGGGAGGCAGCAGUGGGGAAUAUUGCACAAUGGGCGAAAGCCUGAUGCAGCAACGCCGCGUGAGGGAAGACGGUCUUCGGAUUGUAAACCUUUGUCCUUGGUGACGAAAAAAAUGACGGUAGCCGAGGAGGAAGCCACGGCUAACUACGUGCCAGCAGCCGCGGUAAUACGUAGGUGGCAAGCGUUGUCCGGAAUUACUGGGUGUAAAGGGAGCGCAGGCGGGGGAGCAAAGUCAGCUGUGAAAUAUACGGGCUUAACUCGUAGACUGCAGUUGAAACUGUUCUUUCUUGAGUGAAGUAGAGGUAGGCGGAAUUCCGAGUGUAGCGGUGAAAUGCGUAGAGAUUCGGAGGAACACCAGUGGCGAAGGCGGCCUACUGGGCUUUAACUGACGCUGAGGCUCGAAAGUGUGGGGAGCAAACAGGAUUAGAUACCCUGGUAGUCCACACUGUAAACGAUGAUUGCUAGGUGUGGGGGGUCUGACCCCUUCCGUGCCGCAGUUAACGCAAUAAGCAAUCCACCUGGGAAGUACGACCGCAAGGUUGAAACUCAAAGGAAUUGACGGGGGCCCGCACAAGCAGUGGAUUAUGUGGUUUAAUUCGAAGCAACGCGAAGAACCUUACCAGGUCUUGACAUCGAGUGACGAGUUCAGAGAUGAGCUUUUCCUUCGGGACACGAAGACAGGUGGUGCAUGGUUGUCGUCAGCUCGUGUCGUGAGAUGUUGGGUUAAGUCCCGCAACGAGCGCAACCCCUGCCAUUAGUUGCUACGCAAGAGCACUCUAAUGGGACCGCUACCGACAAGGUGGAGGAAGGUGGGGACGACGUCAAAUCAUCAUGCCCCUUAUGACCUGGGCUACACACGUAAUACAAUGGCCGUUAACAGAGGGAAGCAAAGCCGCGAGGUAGAGCAAAACCCUAAAAACGGUCUCAGUUCGGAUUGCAGGCUGCAACUCGCCUGUAUGAAGUCGGAAUUGCUAGUAAUCGCGGAUCAGCAUGCCGCGGUGAAUACGUUCCCGGGCCUUGCACUCACCGCCCGUCA